UUUUGCCUAGCUCAAUCGGAUUAGAGCGUGAGACUCUUACAUAAGCAGGUAUCUCAAGGUUGCGGGUUCGACCCCCGCGGUUGGUU